rnacentral:rRNA from 1 species
UGGCGAAUAUUGGACAAUGGGCGCAAGCCUGAUCCAGCCAUGCCGCGUGUGUGAAGAAGGCCUUUUGGUUGUAAAGCACUUUAAGCGAGGAGGAGGCUACUUGGAUUAAUACUCUAAGAUAGUGGACGUUACUCGCAGAAUAAGCACCGGCUAACUCUGUGCCAGCAGCCGCGGUAAUACAGAGGGUGCGAGCGUUAAUCGGAUUUACUGGGCGUAAAGCGUGCGUAGGCGGCUUCUUAAGUCGGAUGUGAAAUCCCUGAGCUUAACUUAGGAAUUGCAUUCGAUACUGGGAAGCUAGAGUAUGGGAGAGGAUGGUAGAAUUCCAGGUGUAGCGGUGAAAUGCGUAGAGAUCUGGAGGAAUACCGAUGGCGAAGGCAGCCAUCUGGCCUAAUACUGACGCUGAGGUACGAAAGCAUGGGGAGCAAACAGG